GCCAAGUGAAGACACUUAACCAGACCAAGUAAAACAAAACCUGAGAUGCAACACAGCUGUGUCAGAAAGCUGUUCAAUUCCUGGUUUGUGUUCUAACUCGUCCCAAAGGGCAUCACUGGAUGGACUGGAUGGGCAGGAGGGGGAUACAGAGGCAACAUCGUCGCUGAGAAAAGUCACCUGACAAGUGCUGAUGAAUUCAUAGAAGACCCUGACUUCCUAUCAAAAGGCCUUCAAAAAUCAAGGUGCAAGAGCUCACAGAGGCACUGACGGCAGCAGCUCUGAGGAUCUGGAGCCAGGGGCCCCAGCCCCCGAGACAGCUGGAGGAGGGAUGCUGCAGGUGAUGCUGGUGAUGGAGCAGAGUUCUAGAACAGGCUCUCAGAGCAACUUGACUCUUCCAAGAAGAAUUUGACUGUAUCCACCCAGGGCAGCCUCCACAGACACAUGAUCCCAGGGAAUAGAGAGCAUCCCUGU
ensembl:lncRNA